rnacentral:rRNA from 1 species
AGUGAACGCUGGCGGUAGGCCUAACACAUGCAAGUCGAACGGCAGCACAGUAAGAGCUUGCUCUUACGGGUGGCGAGUGGCGGACGGGUGAGGAAUACAUCGGAAUCUACUUGUUCGUGGGGGAUAACGUAGGGAAACUUACGCUAAUACCGCAUACGACCUACGUGUGAAAGCAGGGGAUCUUCGGACCUUGCGCGAUUGAAUGAGCCGAUGUCGGAUUAGCUAGUUGGCGGGGUAAAGGCCCACCAAGGCGACGAUCCGUAGCUGGUCUGAGAGGAUGAUCAGUCACACUGGAACUGAGACACGGUCCAGACUCCUACGGGAGGCAGCAGUGGGGAAUAUUGGACAAUGGGCGCAAGCCUGAUCCAGCCAUACCGCGUGGGUGAAGAAGGCCUUCGGAUUGUAAAGCCCUUUUGUUGGGAAAGAAAAGCAGCAGGUUAAUACCCCGCUGUUCUGACGGUACCCAAAGAAUAAGCACCGGCUAACUUCGUG